rnacentral:rRNA from 1 species
CAUCCUGGGGCUGUAGUCGGUCCCAAGGGUUGGGCUGUUCGCCCAUUAAAGCGGCACGCGAGCUGGGUUCAGAACGUCGUGGGACAGUUCGGUCCCUAUCCGUCGCGGGCGCAGGAAAUUUGAGAGGGGCUGUCCUUAGUACGAGAGGACCGGGAUGGACACACCGCUGGUGUACCAGUUGUUCCGCCAGGAGCAUCGCUGGGUAGCUA